rnacentral:tRNA from 1 species
CCCCGUGUGGCUCAGGUGGUAGAGCAUGGUGUUUGCAACGCCAGGGUUGUGGGUUCGAUUCCCACGGGGG